rnacentral:tRNA from 1 species
GGAUAUAGCUCAGUGGUGAGGCGUAUGCUUAACAUGCAUGAGGUCCUGGGUUCAAUCCCCAGUACCUCCA